rnacentral:rRNA from 1 species
CUGGCUCAGAGUGAACGCUGGCGGUAGGCCUAACACAUGCAAGUCGAACGGCAGCACAGAGGAGCUUGCUCCUUGGGUGGCGAGUGGCGGACGGGUGAGGAAUACAUCGGAAUCUACUUUUUCGUGGGGGAUAACGUAGGGAAACUUACGCUAAUACCGCAUACGACCUACGGGUGAAAGCAGGGGAUCUUCGGACCUUGCGCGAUUGAAUGAGCCGAUGUCGGAUUAGCUAGUUGGCGGGGUAAAGGCCCACCAAGGCGACGAUCCGUAGCUGGUCUGAGAGGAUGAUCAGCCACACUGGAACUGAGACACGGUCCAGACUCCUACGGGAGGCAGCAGUGGGGAAUAUUGGACAAUGGGCGCAAGCCUGAUCCAGCCAUACCGCGUGGGUGAAGAAGGCCUUCGGGUUGUAAAGCCCUUUUGUUGGGAAAGAAAUCCAGCCGGCUAAUACCUGGUUGGGAUGACGGUACCCAAAGA